rnacentral:tRNA from 1 species
GCGGCUGUAGUUCAGCGGUUAGAACGUCGGUUUGUGGAGCCGAAUGUCGAGGGUUCGAUUCCCUCCAGCCGCC